GACGGGGCACAGAACUGAAGUUUUCAUUGGUUAAAAAUCUUCCAUUACACAAGUUAGCAAGCUGGACAAUUUGGAUAAAGAAACUGCAGCUUUGCUUCCAAGAGAUCUCCUGGAGGGAUGCCAUCAGUCAGUAGACAGAAAUCAUAGAAACAGAGAAUAUCCUGAGUUGGAGGGGGCCCAUGAGGAUCAUCAAGUCCAACUCCUGACUCCACAAACGACCGUCCAAAAAUCAGACCACAUGCCUGAUGGGAUGAAGACAGUCAUUGGCAGACACCUGCUCUUUGCCACUGCUGGAAGGAAGAGACAUGGAUCAAUGGACUUUUAAUUUGACUCGCUACAGCAGUUCUUAAUUUCAUUUGUAUUAUUCAAAUACAUAAGGCCCAAAUUCUGAACAGAGCCCAGACUUUACAGCCAGUCACAAAUGUUGAUCCAUUUGACCCAAUUGAAAUAUACUGUUCUUCAAACCUUCAGAUCAAAUCAUGGCUUGUUCCCUGUGCUCAUGAAUGCGGCACCUUCCUAGCAAAACCCUGGUGUUAGAUCCAGAACAGAACAUUGAUCUUGCCCAGAGCCAUCUGAGGUCAAACUGAACCUUUACGUAAUCAGGAAAUUUUGGAUCCAUCUCUGAGAUUUGAACAGCACUGAAGGUGCUCUUCUACCAGCAAAGCUACUCUGUGAGGCAGAAAAAAAACUGUUAUAAAAUUGAAAUUGUAGUCUGAGAACAAACUCUUUUAUUCCUCUGGAUAACAAGUACUUCGAAGUUUAUAAUCUGGCAGUAGUUCAUCUGGCAUGCAGUAUGUUUGGCAGAAGCUUAGAUAUGCCCAUUAGACCUAAAAAAAGCCCUUAUCCAUGUCAUUUUGCUAGCAUGAAAAGGAAUGGUCAUAAAAGUAAGAAUUUGUAACUUUGUUGAGUCUUAGAUGUGGA
ensembl:lncRNA